GCGCUGAUAGAUGAGCCCAAGUCGGAUUAGCUAGUUGGUAGGGUAAUGGCCUACCAAGGCGACGAUCCGUAACUGGUCUGAGAGGACGACCAGUCACACCGGAACUGAGACACGGUCCGG
rnacentral:rRNA from 1 species